rnacentral:misc_RNA from 1 species
CAUUUGCUUAUCUGACACAGUCUUCAUCUAUUGGGUCAUGGAUUUUUGACUAUGGUGUCUCCAAUCACAUCUCUGGUAAUAAAAGUUGUUUCUCUAUUCUUAAUUCUCCAUCAACCUUUUGCAAUGUUACCCUAGUUGUUGGAUCAAAAAUUGUGGUUAAAGGAAUGGGUGGGCCACACCCUUUUCCAUCUUUACCUUUAACUUUAGUUUUGUUUGCGCUUGAGUGUUCAUAUAAUUUGAUAUCUAGUAGUAAAUUAACCAAACACUUAAAUUGUUAUGUAACUUUUUUGGCUGAUUUUGUUCUUGGUAGGUUGGGGUUCAGGGAAGAUG